CGUAGGGGCGAGCGUUGUCCGGAAUUACUGGGCGUAAAGGGCGCGUAGGCGGCCUAAUAAGUCAGAUGUGAAAAUCCUGGGCUUAACUUAGGGCUUGCAUUUGAAACUGUUGGGCUUGAGGACAGGAGAGGAAAGCGGAAUUCCCAGUGUAGCGGUGAAAUGCGUAGAUAUUGGGAGGAACACCAGUGGCGAAGGCGGCUUUCUGGACUGCACCUGACGCUGAGGCGCGAAAGCCAGGGGAGCGAACGGGGAUU
rnacentral:rRNA from 1 species